rnacentral:sRNA from 1 species
AACGCUCUGGUAAGCACCCGAGGCAAGAGGUCCCAGCAAGGAAGACCUCCGUGUGGAUGGCCGUGGCUGUGAGGACUACCGAUGUGUCGAAGUGGAAACUGAUGUGGUGUCCAACACUAGUGGGUCCGCCAGGGUCAAGCUGGGUCACACAGACAUCUUGGUGGGAGUGAAAGCAGAAAUGGGGACGCCGAAGCUGGAGAAACCAAAUGAAGGCUACUUGGAGUUCUUCGUUGACUGUUCAGCCAGUGCUACCCCUGAAUUUGAAGGUAGAGGAGGUGAUGACCUUGGCACCGAGAUCGCUAACACCCUCUAUCGGAUAUUUAACAAUAAAAGCAGUGUCGACCUAAAGACCCUCUGCAUUAGUCCUCGGGAGCACUGCUGGGUUCUCUAUGUGGAUGUGCUGCUUCUGGAAUGUGGUGGAAAUUUGUUUGAUGCCAUUUCCAUUGCUGUAAAGGCUGCUCUCUUCAAUACAAGGAUACCAAGGGUUCGAGUUUUGGAGGAUGAAGAGGGGUCGAAGGACAUUGAAUUGUCUGAUGACCCUUAUGACUGCAUACGACUA